AAAUUUAAAAAAAUGGCCACUCAUUUCUCUCUCUCUCCCUCUUCCUCUCCUUCUCGUCCUCGCCGCCGCUCCACAGUUGCCGCCCACCACCACCGCUACACUGCUAUUCUGAGACGGAGGGAGCCGCGCACGCGGUAGCGUUGCUCCGCCGCUGCUGACUCGCCGGGGAAGAAGACACUCUUCUAGCUCGGCACCUUUGACUCCGCCGCGCCGCCUCCCCCGGUCCGACGCUCCGCCUUCCCCGGUCCAACGCGCCGCCUUCCUGGUUCGACGCUCCUUCGGAAGCCUCCCCCUCCGUUCGCCUACAUCAGCGCCUCCUCUGUACACCUGAAUUCGAGUUCGCCCCACUGCUGAAUUCCAAUUCGCCGCGCCGCCUCUUCCCUAUCUGCCUCGCCUCCAUACAUCUUCUCUCGGUCUGCCUCCGUUCGCCUGCAUAAUCGGAGCAGGACGUCAUCUUCUACGCAGAUCUAGGGUUGAGCUUGAAGUGGAGGCGCGGCUUGUGGUCGUGCCACCACCGGGGUUCAGAGGGAUUUCAUGGUCAGCCAAUGACAAAUACUGUUCCUACAGCGCCUCAGCCUCCUGCAGUUCGUCCAAGGGUACGAGCUAGACGAGGCCAAGCAACAGAUCCACACAGUAUAGCUGAGAGAGAAGGUAUGGGCUGCCAGAGGAAGUCGCUGGGUUGGUGAAAUUCUUGGCCCUUAGCCAAGCUGCUAGUUAUAUCACUGGACAGGUGCUGACCAUUGAUGGAGGUAUGGUCAUGUAAGAGGCUUCUGAAGUUCAGCAUUGCUCUAGAUAACCCUCUCCAAAUGUGUGGCGCUAUGAGCUGACUCGCCUGUAUGCUCCUGAGGUUCUGUCCUGUUUGUCAAGUAAACUGCAAUUGUUGAUCGUGUUUAAAAAUGGAAGUUCCUGUGGCAGUUUGUUUCUAACUUGCUGAAGCAGGAGUGAAGGGAGAAUCAAAUGCUACUGCUGUUUUAAAAUCUGGAAAAAGGCAAGUAAAGCCGGUAGAUCCUAAUCCACAUGGUGAGAAGUUACUGCAGGUUGAAGAUCCUUUGGUGGAAGCUACAAAGUACUUGAAACUUCUCCAGAAGCACUCCUCCACAAUUACAUUGUGGUGCUCUCUCUCUCAAUUAAUGAACCAAUCGCAUACAUGCUGGAUAAGAUGUCGGUGGAGUGGAGGUGGCUCAAGUAGCGGUGGUCACCGAUUUGUGGCUCAGUUUUCCAAUUUGAUGUGUGCUGCAGGAGAUUUUGAUUGUAGAUUGAAUUGAUUCGGAUAAUAUUUUUGUUGUAUUUUGAUUGUUGAGUUAGAGGAAUUGAUGUAUUUUGAUGGUAGAUUGAGUUGUUGUAUUUUAGUGUUGUACAACAUUUUGAUUGAGCUGUAUAAUUAUUUUUUUAAUGUUCUUAAA